UCCGUAGGUGAACCUGCGGAAGGAUCAUUAAUGAUGCCCUCGACGUCUUUACGACUGGUAGGGUUUGGGUCUGGCCUUUUGGUCGACCUUCAUCUAACACACCGUGAACUGUGGCUUCGGCCAUUUUACACAAACUCUUAGUAAUGAAUGUAUUAUCAUAACAUAAUAAAACUUUCAACAACGGAUCUCUUGGCUCUCGCAUCGAUGAAGAACGCAGCGAAAUGCGAUAAGUAAUGUGAAUUGCAGAAUUCAGUGAAUCAUCGAAUCUUUGAACGCACCUUGCGCCUCUUGGUAUUCCGAGAGGUAUGCCUGUUUGAGUGUCAUGAAACCUCACCCCCUCUGGGUUUUUGACCUGGUCGGUGGUGGAUUGGGCGCCUGCCGUCACUGGCUCGCCUGAAAAGCAUAAGCACCUUGGAUGUAAUACGUUUCAUCCUCUCGGGUGGCUGACAACCCCACAUACUUCAUGAUCUGGCCUCAAAUCAGGUAGGGCUACCCGCUGAACUUAAGCAUAUCAAUAAGCGGAGGA
rnacentral:rRNA from 1 species